AACAUCUGUGGUGCUGUUGUUAUUUUCCAGACCCAGUCCUGGCGAUGUAGAGGACAGUAGGACCUCAGAGGCAGGCCAGUGGCACAGUGUGGGCUCCACAACCAUGCCAGGCAUCGAUGAAGCUCCUUCUGAAGAAACUAAUACACUCAGCUACACUCCACCCAAUGUGUGACAUACAAGGACACACUCCUGCAACAAGGGACAACAGACACACCCUCAUGCAGCAACUACUGUAUAGGUCAACAUAGAAGUCUUUUUGCAAGUGUGCUGUGUCUGAGUUGUGGCAACAACGUUAGAUGAUUGACCAGGGCUGUCUCCAGCAUUAAAUUUUAUUAGUCUCUCUCAUUGGAGCUCACAUAAAUAGGGGAAUUUCAACCCC